AGUGAACGCUGGCGGCAGGCCUAACACAUGCAAGUCGAACGGCAGCACAGUAAGAGCUUGCUCUUACGGGUGGCGAGUGGCGGACGGGUGAGGAAUACAUCGGAAUCUACUUUUUCGUGGGGGAUAACGUAGGGAAACUUACGCUAAUACCGCAUACGACCUACGGGUGAAAGCAGGGGAUCUUCGGACCUUGUGCGAUUGAAUGAGCCGAUGUCGGAUUAGCUAGUUGGCGGGGUAAAGGCCCACCAAGGCGACGAUCCGUAGCUGGUCUGAGAGGAUGAUCGGCCACACUGGAACUGAGACACGCACCAGACUCCUACGGGAGGCAGCAGUGGGGAAUAUUGGACAAUGGGCGCAAGCCUGAUCCAGCCAUACCGCGUGGGUGAAGAAGGCCUUCGGGUUGUAAAGCCCUUUUGUUGGGAAAGAAAAGCAGCAGGUUAAUACCCCGCUGUUCUGACGGUACCCAAAGAAUAAGCACCGGCUAACUUCGUG
rnacentral:rRNA from 1 species